UACGUAGGGGGCUAGCGUUGUCCGGAAUCAUUGGGCGUAAAGCGCGUGUAGGCGGUUCGGUAAGUCCGCUGUGAAAGUCGGGGGCUCAACCCUCGGAUGCCGGUGGAUACUGUCGGACUAGAGUACGGAAGAGGCGAGUGGAAUUCCUGGUGUAGCGGUGAAAUGCGCAGAUAUCAGGAGGAACACCAAUUGCGGAAGGCAGCUCGCUGGGACGUACUGACGCUGAGACGCGAAAGCGUGGGGAGCAAACAGG
rnacentral:rRNA from 1 species